rnacentral:rRNA from 1 species
AGAGACCGAGAGGUACCCCGAUGGUGAAGACAGCUUCCUGGGCGUUUCCUGACGCUGAAGCACUAAGGCCAGGGGAGCGAAGGGGAUUAGAUACCCCCGUAGUCCUGGCUUCAAACGAUGUGGGCUUGGUGUCGGCCCCCUACAGAGGGUCGUUGCCGGAGCUAACGUGUUAAGCCCACCGCCUGGGGAUUACGUCCGCAAGGAUGAAACUCAAGGGAAUUGACGGGGGCCCACACAACCGGUGGAGCACGUGGUUUAAUUCGAUGAUAAGCGAAGAACCUUACCAGGGCUUGACCUAGCGGUAGUAGGAUCCUGAAAGGGAAACGACCUCAAGCUUUGCUUGAGGAGCCGUGGCAGGUAUUGCAUGGCUGUCGUCAGCUCGUGUCGUGGGACGUUGGGUUAAGUCCCGUAACGAGCGCAACCCCUGCUCUUAAUUGCCAGCGGGUAAUGCCGGGUACUAUAAGGGGACUGCCGGAGAAUAUCCGGAGGAAGGAGGGGAUGACGUCAAGUCAUUAUGAUCCUUAUGCUCUGGGCGACACACGUGCUACAAUGGGCACUACAAUGAGGAGCAAGUCCGCAAGGACGAGCAAAUCUCAAAAAGGUGCCCCCAGUGCGGAUUGGGGUCUGCAACCCGACCCCAUGAAGAUGGAAUCGGUAGUAAUCGCGGGUCAGCCAUACCGCGGUGAAUAUGUACUUGGGCCUUGUACACACCGCCCGUCACACCAAUCGAGUAGGCGACACCCGAAGUCGACGUAUGUUGCCGAAGGUGUUACCUGCAAGAGGGGUGAAGUCGUAACAAGGUAGCCGUAGA